rnacentral:rRNA from 1 species
UACGUAGGGGGCAAGCGUUGUCCGGAAUCAUUGGGCGUAAAGCGCGUGUAGGCGGCCAUGUAAGUCCGUUCUGAAAGCCCGGGGCUCAACCCCGGGAGGCGGAUGGAUACUGCAUGGCUCGAGUACGGAAGAGGCGAGUGGAAUUCCCGGUGUAGCGGUGAAAUGCGCAGAUAUCGGGAGGAACACCUAUGGCGAAGGCAGCUCGCUGGGACGUUACUGACGCUGAGACGCGAAAGCGUGGGGAGCAAACAGG